GACGAACGCUGGCGGCGUGCUUAACACAUGCAAGUCGAACGGAAAGGCCCUGCUUUUGUGGGGUGCUCGAGUGGCGAACGGGUGAGUAACACGUGAGUAACCUGCCCUUGACUUUGGGAUAACUUCAGGAAACUGGGGCUAAUACCGGAUAGGAGCUCCUGCUGCAUGGUGGGGGUUGGAAAGUUUCGGCGGUUGGGGAUGGACUCGCGGCUUAUCAGCUUGUUGGUGGGGUAGUGGCUUACCAAGGCUUUGACGGGUAGCCGGCCUGAGAGGGUGACCGGCCACAUUGGGACUGAGAUACGGCCCAGACUCCUACGGGAGGCAACAGUGGGGAAUAUUGCACAAUGGGCGGAAGCCUGAUGCAGCAACGCCGCGUGCGGGAUGACGGCCUUCGGGUUGUAAACCGCUUUCGCCUGCGACGAAGCGUGAGUGACGGUAAUGGGUAAAGAAGCACCGGCUAACUACGU
rnacentral:rRNA from 1 species